UAAACCAUGCAGUAUCUCAAGAUGUUCUAUGGUGAAAUAAAACCAAAAUUUGUCACUCCAGUCUCAUUGCAACUACAAGCGAUAUAUGUCCCAACUUGAUCGAGGAAGCCUGUGGUGCAUUGCGAACUAGAACUACCCAGGUUCCCUGCAAAACUGCUGCUAGAGUAGCGGCUGUCUGGUCGUCUAAAGCAUCUAUCAAUGCUCAGUCUGUGUCUGAAGAAGGGGACUGGAAGUGUUGCUCUUGCUCAAGUUUAGCUCAUGAAGGGCCUGGUGUUGAGACUGGUGGAUGCCAGUGUGGCUCUUGAUGAUCUGGGAAAGGGACACUCCAUGAUGAUUUUAUUUUAUUGUAAUGGUGCAUAGCCCACCUCACAUAUUUGUCCUCUACCAUUAUUUAAAUGUUAUUUUCAAAUGAAAUUUAAUAAUUUUGUUAUAUUUUAAAAUCCUCUAAUUUAUGAGAAUGAAUAAAACCAGUUAAUAGUUUAUUAAAAUUUUGAUGUAUGGAUGGGUGCACACUACUGAUUCCUCUUUGCUAAUUACCUUUUCCCUGGGUCCUUGAUCACUCUGGUUCAUGGCGUGGACGGUCACAUUCCAUGUGUCAGCAAACACAGAGAGAGGUGGGGCUUCAGGCUCCAUACUAAUGUGUUCUAGAGGAACUUGGACUAAACCAUAAGGUUCAGAUUUACGUUUACAUUUACAGCAUUUGGCAGACGCACUUAUCCAGAACGACCUACAGAAGUGCUUACGUCCCUAUCAUUGGAUACAUUAACUCUGGGUCACUAGGUUACAUACAUUAGAUACCAUGAGUCUAAAACUUUGCUCAUGUUUUUUUUUUAUUUUAAAUUCAGAAGGAUAUUUUUUCUAUUCAAUUCAUUUAGUUUUUUUCUUUGAUUGUUUGUUUGCAGUAGCUUUGAUUGUUACUGUAGGUAAUUGUUUGUAUUGUGUUAUGUAUAACGAAAUGGAUAUGUAUGGAUUUACCUUUUUGUUUCUCAUAGUGGUGGACGUAUUAUACAAGGUCUGUGUUGUUCAGCAAUAGCAACACUUUGUGCUCCUUAUCUUAGGGUUUGUUUCCUUUUUGGUUUUAUUUUUGUUUCUUACUUUGUUAACAGGGGACACAUUUAAUCAUUGAUGUGUUUUUGGCCUGGAUACAUUAUCUAAAGUUUUUGAUUCUUGUAUGGAACCUUGUUGGACGUGAAUUUUGUUAUGUAUAAGCCUGCCUAAUUUUGUUUGUUGAAAGGAAAAAUAAUUUUUUAAUCAUCUGUCCUGCUUGUUUUUGGCCUUGAUCAUCACAUUUAUCCUGAAAUCCUCAUGUUUCUACACCAGUGUGACUCUCCCUCAUUCUCUUUAAUUCUGCUUUUUAAGUGAUUCUUGAAUCAUGGUCUCUCUCAGUGGAGACACACCAACUUAAGCACAUACACAGUAGUCAGUUCUGUUCAGCUCAGAUCUAGCUGUGUUCUCUUGUGACUCUGUGCUGUCUUGUCUCCCAUGUAUAUCUCUGCUGUAGCCACCUCCUUAGCACUCACUCUCCUGAUUCCACCCUUCAUUCAACUCCACAGGUCUACAAGAGAAACAGCAGAAUUUUAUGCAGUGUAGUUUUAUGCAGCUAACUGAACUGGCUUUACUGAAUUUUCAGACUAAAAAUACAUUUUGUUAUCUGUCUUAACCACCUACAUGCAUCUGUUUACUGUUUAUAUGUUUAUAAAGCCUAAAUUAUGUCAAAAUGAGUGCAUGAAGAAAUGCAAAAUAUAUUGCUGAACCUUUUUCACCAGAACUUCCUGACGUAUCUUUCCACACCAUGCUGUUUUUUAAUCUACGUAAGAAACCACAGACUCCUAUACUGUACUUCUGCUUCUUUUAGUAUUUAGAUCCUACACCCUGUUACACGAAAGCUCUAACCAUGCAGCACCUCAACUCAUCUAACAGCUCGCUCAUCGGUCCUGUUGCAACUGAGAACCUGAUUUACAGUAUUGUGGUGGCAGUUUGCUUCAUACUGGGAGUCCCUGGUAAUAUUGCUGUAAUGGUGCGUCUGUCUGGAUGGCUGAAGAAAGGCAGUUUCACCCCGAGACUGAUGCUAAGCCUGGCCAUAUCAGAUCUACUCACUCUGAUUUCUCUGCCCGUUUCGAUUUGGGCUCAUCUGCAUGGCUGGGUGUUUGACUCGGUCUUGUGUAAGCUUCUCUCUUACAUGUCGUACUUAGGCUUCAGCUGCAGCAUACUAUGUGUGGUGUGGAUGAGCAUGCAGCGAUACAUCCAAGUGCUGCAUCCUGAGAAAUGGAACAAGCUUGGCAGAAAAGGAAAGAAGAUCCUUUUGAGUGGGAUGUGGAUGUUAAGUGCAGUUUUAUCAUGCUAUGCUCUCAUACUAAGCAGUAUAAGCUUGGACAGAGGAGGACGUCUUCAGUGCAGGCUAAUUUAUCAGACUGAGGUUGAAAUUAUGUCUAUUUUUAUCUUGGAGAUUAUAACAUUUGCAACUUCAUUCACCACCAUAUCUUAUUUCUAUUUUCACCUUCACAGAGGAGUUAAUAACUCAGCUUUCUUUAGCAGUAACUCAUUGACCAAGGUGUUGACCAGAAUUGUGGUGUGUUUCUGCAUUUUUUGGAUCCCGAAUCAAAUCUCCAAAAUUGUGGUCAUCAUUGCAAUAUUGACUGAGAAUGACAGUCUUUUAGGAUCUGCCGAAUCUGGAUAUAUUGUUACUAUAACUCUGUUUUUUAUUAACAGUUGUGUGAACCCCUUCCUGUACGCUUCGUCUGCUCGGGUUCUUUAACAUGGAACAGCUGGAACAAAUGAUCAUUAGUUUCUUGAACAUAUCAAGGUUUGAGUGAGCUGAUGCACGUCUCUGACAGACUUUCACAGACAUUGCAUUUAAAGGAACACCAUAUAAAAUUAUAUAAAUCGUUUUGAUUAUU